UCGGAUUGUCGUUAGAAGUUAAGUUAAUUAGUAUUCUGGAUGAGGAUAUAUCACGGCUGAGGGACGCUUUAGGGUAAAGGAAAGUUUAGCUACCUUAACGACAUCGCCUCAGGCCACGCGUCCAGUCCGCAAUUACCAGUGGCGCGCGCGUCAAUCCUACGCUCGGUGCACUUUAUGGCGCGCGACACAAAGACCAAGAACGUAAUAACGUAAAGUAUGCGGUUUCAUUAGGGUUUUGUGCUGGUACGCGUUCUCAUUAAGCCAUUUGCAUAUAAACCGAUGGAGCCUGGUUCGAGCCGGGACCGUCUCUAAUGGCAACGUAAUUUCAAGUGUAGCGGGUAAAUUCGUGAAAAUACUGGCUUGCUCGGCUUAUCGCCAAGGCGUUAGGAUCAUAGGAAAGUCUUGGCGAGGUUACACUGGCUUUUUAACGAGCUUUCGCGCGCCGAAUGGGAUUCCAAUUAUCGAAGAUAACGACGUAAUAAUCCCUCGAUAAUACGACAUUAGUCGGAUUACGAUUCUAUUUAUUAUAUCGUUCAACGAUGGAAAUGAAAAUGCUCGUGUUUGAGCUCGUUUCAUUUUAAUAGAAAAAUGUUAUUAAUUUUCUAUCGAAAGAGUCCGGGGGAAAACGAAGUUUGAGAAACGCCGAGUCAUCCUUCCGAGUUGGAGGAUUUACCGAAAGUACUCCAUUUGAUUCGCGAAUCGAAAAGUGGAGCUUCGACUGAAAGCGAUUUAUAAGACCGUAGCGAGUUCGACCGAGUAUGAAAUUAUUCGAGAAUUGCUUCUGUUACGAAGACAAUUCGGAGCAAGCUUAACGGGUAAAUUAUGAGCCGCCUGCGCGUGAAAUUCAGAGACGAACGGGACACGGUGUUUCGGAUCUGGAAAUAGGAAAUGUUUCAUGGAGUUUACUUCGACCGAAUGCGCGCCCCCGGAAUGAAAUAUCAUUUACGUAAUUACUGCGUACAAUCUCCACGAAAUUUCUGCAAUUUACGCGCGAGCGUAAUUCGGUAUCACGUCGGAGAACUUGUUGAUCAAAGAAGUCUCGCAAUUUUCGCCACUUUAAUGCGGAAUUUCUAUUAAAAAUAUAUAUAUAUAUAAAAAUUGAAUUUAUAAAAAGGUGGAUAUAAAAAGAUGUAAUACAUCCUCUAUCUCCGCGUCAUAUUUUUCGUUGAGACUUGGAGAAAGAAUUAUUCGAGAACCACUGUCCCGACGAUAAAAAGACGUACGCGACCAGGAUUGGUUUCCAGGUGACAUAAAACGUAUCUACAUACUGAUUCGUAUGCCUAUCGUUGCAAAAGUUCCUUAUCGCGCAGGAAACGAAGGGGCACAGAGAGCAAACAGUUCCGGUAGCGACAGAACGAACGAAUGACGCAGGUGCCAUCCACUCGUGGUGAAGAACCAAUCGGUCGAUGGAUGUCGGAUAGACCCUCUCGAAUAGGAUCGUGUUUACAACGAGGACGUGCCUGGUCUGCCCACUUUUCAAACGUAACACCCAUGGUACACAGUGUUCGCCACGAUAUUCUCCAACUCCAUCAAUUCCAGCUUGAUCGGGUUUACGCGGCCGAAUCGGGAGGGAGAAACUGGCCGGCCGACGGUCGGGAUGGGGAGGAGCAGGG